AUUGAACGCUGGCGGCAGGCUUAACACAUGCAAGUCGAACGGUAACAUAAAGAAGCUUGCUUCUUUGAUGACGAGUGGCGGACGGGUGAGUAAUGCUUGGGAAUCUAGCUUAUGGAGGGGGAUAACUACGGGAAACUGUAGCUAAUACCGCGUAGAAUCGGAAGAUGAAAGUGUGGGACCUUCGGGCCACAUGCCAUAGGAUGAGCCCAAGUGGGAUUAGGUAGUUGGUGAGGUAAAGGCUCACCAAGCCGACGAUCUCUAGCUGGUCUGAGAGGAUGACCAGCCACACUGGGGACUGAGACACGGCCCAGACUCCUACGGAGGCAGCAGUGGGGAAUAUUGCGCAAUGGGGGCAACCCUGACGCAGCCAUGCCGCGUGAAUGAAGAAGGCCUUCGGGUUGUAAAGUUCUUUCGGUAGCGAGGAAGGCAUUUAGUUUAAUUAGACUAGGUGAUUGACGUUAACUACAGAAGAAGCACCGGCUAACUCCGUGCCAGCC
rnacentral:rRNA from 1 species